GGCGGGGCAGGGACCUGCAAGCUUGCUGUUCCUAGGACUUUGUCCACUAGGACUACAAUAAACAGAGUAAAAGGAACAUUUCCUUGCGCUCUGGGCUAUCUUGGCUGGGUAAAUCUGGGCAUAAAGGGAAGGAAGUCAUGAAGUUCAGAAGGUGACAAGAUGCCUCCUGAUCACUCCCGGAUCCUGAGCCUGCUCCCGACAGGAUGUUAGCUAUAGUCCUUUAAAGAUAUACAGAGGCUUUCAUCUGAUGUCUGUAUAUCCCUGGUGGUACAUAUAACAAUAAAAAUCUAAAACGCAA